UUCCUACGGGACGCAGCAGUGGGGAAUAUUGCGCAAUGGGGGAAACCCUGACGCAGCAACGCCGCGUGCAGGAAGAAGGUCUUGGGAUUGUAAACUGUUGUCGCAGGGGAAGAAGACAGUGACGGUACCCUGUGAGAAAGUCACGGCUAACUACGUGCCAGCAGCCGCGGUAAUACGUAGGGUGCGAGCGUUAAUCGGAAUUACUGGGCGUAAAGGGUGUGCAGGCGGCUGAGUAAGACAGAUGUGAAAUCCCCGGGCUUAACCUGGGAACCGCAUAUGUGACUGCUUGGCUAGAGUGCGUCAGG
rnacentral:rRNA from 1 species